rnacentral:rRNA from 1 species
AUGACCAUUGCGUCGAGCGGUUACUGCUACACUUACCAAGCCAGCGAUAUUGAGAAGCACAUUGAGAGAUUUUCCCAGAAAUCACAUGCCGUGAAGGGUUCCGAUGCGAAGUUGCUGAAAGGGACCGUAAACAUAACGCAUGCCUUUUUUCUUGCUUUUCAGAAGACAAGGAACAUGACACAGUAUUUUUCUGGAUUUCCAGAAGACAAGGACCAGGACCACAGCAAACAUCCUGAGUUGGAAGACAAAAGUACUGAUGCAACCAUGGAAGGGGUGGAAGGGAAAAUAUUUGACGAUUGUUUUUUCUCCCAACCUGGCAAGGUAUUUUACUACCUAUAUUAA